rnacentral:rRNA from 1 species
AGUUUGAUCCUGGCUCAGGACGAACGCUGGCGGCGUGCUUGAUACAUGCAAGUCAAGGAGAACGUUUUCUUCGGAAAAUUAUUAAACUGGCGAACGGGUGAGUAACGCGUAGGUAAUCUGCCUUAGAGAUUGGGAUAACUCGGCGAAAGCCGGACUAAUACCGAAUAAUGCAGCGACUUCUUCGGGAGAUGCUGUUAAAGCGGGCUUCGGCUCGCACUUUAAGAUGAGCCUGCGACCGAUUAGCUAGUUGGUAAGGUAAUGGCUUACCAAGGCGAUGAUCGGUAACUGGUCUGAGAGGACGAUCAGUCGCACUGGAAUUGAGAUACGGUCCAGACUCCUACGGGAGGCAGCAGUAAGGAAUUUUGCGCAAUGGGCGAAAGCCUGACGCAGCAACGCCGCGUGAUCGAUGAAGCUCUUAGGAGUGUAAAGAUCUGUCAUAAGGGAAGAACAACUUUAAUAAAAAUAUUAUUAGAAUUUGACGGUACCUUAUAAGAAAGCACCGGCUAACUUAGUGCCAGCAGCCGCAGUAAUACUAGGGGUGCAAGCGUUGUCCGGAAUCAUUGGGCGUAAAGGGUGCGUAGGCGUCCAGGAAAGUUAUUUGUUAAAGCCUCCGGCUUAACCGGAGAGAUGCAUAUAAAACUACCUGGAUAGAGUUUAAGAGAGGAAAGUGGAAUUCCUGGUGUAGCGGUGACAUGCGUAGAUAUCAGAGGAACAUCAAUGGCGAAAGCAGCUUUCUGGCUUAAAACUGACGCUGAGGCACGAAAGCAUGGGGAGCAAACAGGAUUAGAUACCCUGGUAGUCC